GACGAACGCUGGCGGCGUGCCUAAUACAUGCAAGUUGAGCGCUGAAGGUUGGUACUUGUACCAACUGGAUGAGCAGCGAACGGGUGAGUAACGCGUGGGGAAUCUGCAUUUGAGCGGGGGACAACAUUUGGAAACGAAUGCUAAUACCGCAUAAAAACUUUAAACACAAGUUUUAAGUUUGAAAGAUGCAAUUGCAUCACUCAAAGAUGAUCCCGCGUUGUAUUAGCUAGUUGGUGAGGUAAAGGCUCACCAAGGCGAUGUUACCUAGCCGACCUGAGAGGGAGAUCGGCCACAUUGGGACUGAGACACGGCCCAAACGCCCACGGGAGGCAGCCGUAGGGAAUCUUCGGCGAUGGACGAAAGUCUGACCGAGCAACGCCGCGUGAGUGAAGAAGGGUUUCGGAUCGUAAGACUCUGUUGGUAGAGAAGAACGUUGGUGAGAGUGGAAAGCUCAUCAAGUGACGGUAACUACCCAGAAAGGGACGGCUAACUACGUG
rnacentral:rRNA from 1 species